CAUGUGGCAGUCAGGUGGCGACCACUAUCUAGCCCAACGUUGCUGGAGUUGUUGCAGCUCUGCCGGGCCCACAUAUCAGCGUUCGUGCAUGACGCCUCCUGUGGAUGGGUCACAAAAUGACUGUGCAGCAGCCGAAGGCCCCUGGAACCCAGACAGAUGUGCUACUGGCUGACCUUCAGCACUGCAGGUACCUGUGCCAGCCCCCAGCCCCGCCUCCUGUUGGCCCUCCCACGGAAGACAAGGGUGUGUGGCCGUAGUCAUGGCCAGAAUCUUCACUUCUGGGCCAGCACCCGGCAUGGAGCCCUUCUGCUGGGGCGAUCCCCCCACUGGAAAGUGGGUGGGUACCAGUUGUGUGUGCAAUGCCCUGUAGGCCUGAGAGGAGGUGGGGGUGUGGAAGGCACCAGGAUGAGGUAGGCGGUGGGUGCUGGCCCUCCCACUGCUGGGCUGCGUGACCUGGGAUCAGUCUUUCCUCUGUCUGAUGGCAGGUGCAGAUUGCCUGCCCUGGCACGUGGUGGGCAGUCUGGGCCCAGGAGCAUCUCCCACCCUGUGUGGCUGGGGCCUGCUCGUGAGUGGCCUGCUGUCCUCCUGCCCAGCAAGCUGCACCACCCUGGCCUGUUGCUGCUGAUGGCACUGAGUCCCUCUGCAGAUCUGUCGGGGCUGUGCCUUCUCUUUGAGCCUGUGUGGCUGGGCUCCCUGCAGGGGGUGCUGCACCCACCGAGACCAAGUGAGGAGGCACCUGGGACUGUGCUGGGCCUGCCGCCCCGGCCCCCUGCUGCAGCAGGUGCUAAAGGCCCUGCUGUUCCUGCAGGCCCACUGGCGAGCUCACAGUGGCUUCAGCUCUCAC
rnacentral:lncRNA from 1 species